rnacentral:tRNA from 1 species
UGUCAGCUCAGUUAGUAGAGCAGUUGGCUUUUAAUCAAUUGGUUGCAGGUUCGAGCCGAGCGAAGCGAGACAA